rnacentral:rRNA from 1 species
UACGUAGGGGGCGAGCGUUGUCCGGAUUUAUUGGGCGUAAAGCGCAUGCAGGCGGUCCUGUAAGUUUGAAGUGACAGUUUCCGGCUCAACCGGGAAAGUGCUUUGAAAACUGCGGGACUUGAGGGCUUCAGAGGGACACGGAAUUCCGGGUGGAGCGGUGAAAUGCGUAGAUAUCCGGAGGAACACCGAAGGCGAAGGCAGUGUCCUGGGGAGCACCUGACGCUCAGAUGCGAAAGCCAGGGGAGCGAACGGG